UCUCGGCAACGGAUAUCUCGGCUCUCGCAUCGAUGAAGAACGUAGCGAAAUGCGAUACUUGGUGUGAAUUGCAGAAUCCCGUGAACCAUCGAGUCUUUGAACGCAAGUUGCGCCCGACGCCAUCAGGUCGAGGGCACGUCUGCCUGGGCGUCACACGC
rnacentral:rRNA from 1 species